GAGCACUUUCCCCCAUCCCCAGGACCACAGGUACCCCUCCUUACUUGUUGGGGGGAGGUCUGGAACACCUCGCCAAUGCCCUUCCCUUUGUCUGGCUGGGCCUCUCCAGAAAGGGAAUCCAGUCUCUCUUCCUAUUGAAUGUCAUCUUGUGGUCAUAAAGGGAACCAGCCUGAGCAUGAAGACCACACCGUGGAUGGCAAAGCAGGGACAUGGAAAAAGCCUGUGUCCUUGAUGACAUCAAGGAGCCAAUGAAAAAACCACCCUGAAACUCACUCAACACACCGUCUCUGGAUUCCAAGGAUCACCUCCUAUGGCAGAUGGGUCUUCCGAAGAUGGUCACAACAAUAUUUCCCAUCCCACAAGCUCUUUUAGAACCUUAACACUCCUUCCAUCAAGACAUGGCAUCUAUGUCCCCUUCCCUUGAGCCUGGGAGGGCUUGUGACAGCACCCACAAAUAGAAUGUUGCAGAAAUGGUGCUGUGUGAUUUGUAAGACUGGAUUGGAAAAGGCCAUGAGGCUUCUGUCAGGUUCUUUUGUGACACUUGCUCUUGGAAACCAGCCACCAUGCUAUAAGGAAACCCAGGCCAUAUGAAGAGGCCAUGUGUAGUUCUUUUAGCUGAUAGCCCAAGUUGAGGUUUCAGCCAACAGACAAUAUCAUCCACCAGACGAAUAAGUGAAGACACCUCCAAUGACUCCGGCCCCAGCCACGAAGUCACCCCCAGCUGUUAAGUCACCUCCCAGAAGAUGGACCAGACAUUGUAGAGAAGAGACAAGCACUCCCCACUGUGCUCUGUGUGAAUUCCUGACCCACAGAAUCCAUGGGGAUAAUAAAAGUUGUUUUAUG